UAUCAGGUAUAUGCUGAAUAUCUUCCCUAGGACCCACAUAAUGUUAUCUGGUAUAUGCUGAAUAUCUUCCCUAGGACCCACAUAAUGUUAUCUGGUAUAUGCUGAAUAUCUUCCCUAGGACCCACAAUGUUAUCAGGUAUAUGCUGAAUGUUCCCCCUAGGACCCACAUAAUGUUAUCUGGUAUAUGCUGAAUAUCUUCCCUAGGACCCACAUAAUGUUAUCAGGUAUAUGCUGAAUGUUCCCCCCCUCUAGGACCUACAUAAUGUUAUCAGGUAUAUGCUGAAUGUUCCCCCCCCCUAGGACCCACAUAAUGUUAUCAGGUAUAUGCUGAAUGUU